CCCCCCCCCCCCCCCCCCCCCCCCCCCCCCCCCCCCCCCCCCCCCCCCCCCUAGGGAGCCAUGGGGGGUAAUGGGGGCUGCCAGAUUGUGAGCCGCUGAGGGCAGUGCGGGGUAACGGGGCUGCCAGAUAGUGAUCCAUUGAGGGUAAAGGGGAAUGCCAAAUAGUGAGCACGGGCGGUUAACGGAGCUGCCAGAUAGGGAUCCAUUGGGGGAAUAGGGGCUGCCAAAUAGUGAGCACCGGGGGUUAACGGAGCUGCCAGAUAGUGAUCUAUUAAGGGUAACGGGUAAUGCCAAAUAGUGAGCACCGGCGGUUAACGGGGGAUAGCGGAGCUGCCAGAUAGGGAUCCAUUUGGGGUAACGAGGGGCUGCCAGAUAGUGAACGGUUGGGAUCUAUAGGGGCAGCUAUAUGGGGAUCUAUAGGGGGCAAUGGGGGCUGUUAUAUGGGGAUCCGAUAGCGGAGCUGCCAAAUGGUGUAACGGGGAAUGCCAAAUAGUGAGCACCGGGGGUUAACGGAGCUGCCAGAUAGGGAUCCAUUGGGGGUAACGGGGAAUGCCAAAUAGUGAGCACCGGCGGUUAACGGAGCUGCCAGAUGGUGAUCCAUUGGGGGAAUAGGGGCUGCCAAAUAGUGAGCACAGGGGGUUAACGGGGGAUAGCGGAGCUGCCAAAUGGUGAUCCAUUGAGGGUAACGGGGAAUGCCAAAUAGUGAGCACCGGGGGUUAACGGAGCUGCCAGAUAGGGAUCCAUUGGGAGUAGUGGGGUCUGCCAAAUAGUGAGCACCGGGGGAUAACGGAGCUGCCAGAUUGCGAUCCAUUGGAGUUAAUGGAGACUGCCAAAUAGUGAGCACCGGGGGUUAACGGGGGAUAGCGGAGCUGCCAGAUUGUGAUCCGUUGUGGAUAAUGGGGAAUGCCAAAUGGCAAGGACUACGAGCGGGCGGUGCAGCUGUACAGCAGCGCCAUCGAGCUGAACCCCGGCAGCGCCAUCUACUAUGGGAACCGCAGCCUGG
rnacentral:lncRNA from 12 species